GGCCUCGUGGCCCAAUGGCAAGGCGUCUGACUACGAAGAAUUGGAGAAAUUUAGACGAUUUCGAGAAAUUCGAGGCAUCAGGAGAUUCUGGGUUCGACCCCCAGCGAGGUCA